GCAAGUCGAACGAGAAAGGGAUUGCUUGCAAUCCUGAGUAGAGUGGCGCACGGGUGAGUAACACGUAGAUAAUCUACCUUCAAGCCUGGGAUAACUAUUCGAAAGGAUAGCUAAUACCGGAUAAAGUUAAUUUACAUAAGUUUAUUAAUGAAAGAUUGCCUCUUCUUGAAAGCAAUUGUUUGGAGAUGAGUCUGCGGACCAUUAGCUUGUUGGUGGGGUAACGGCCUACCAAGGCAGCGAUGGUUAGCUGGUCUGAGAGGAUGAUCAGUCACACUGGAACUGGAACACGGUCCAGACUCCUACGGAAGGCAGCAGUGAGGAAUUUUGCGCAAUGGGGGCAACCCUGACGCAGCAACGCCGCGUGAGUGAAGAAGGCCUUUGGGUCGUAAAGCUCUGUCAACAAGGAAGAAAUUAUUUA
rnacentral:rRNA from 1 species